AACGAACGCUGGCGGCGUGGAUAAGACAUGCAAGUCGAACGGGAUAUUGUUUGUAGCAAUACAGAUGAUGUUCAGUGGCGAACGGGUGCGUAACACGUGGAUACAUUACGGAAAGCGGGGGAUAGCCCAGGGACACUUGGAUUAAUACCGCAUGUGGUUGAGAAACUAAAGACGGGGAUCGCAAGACCUGUCACUUUCCGAUUGGUCCGCGGCCUAUCAGCUAGUUGGCGGGGUAAAAGCCACCAAGGCUACGACGGGUAGCUGGUCUUAGAGGACGACCAGCCACACUGGAACUGAGACACGGUCCAGACACCUACGGGUGGCAGCAGUCGAGAAUCUUUCACAAUGGGGGCAACCCUGAUGGAGCGACGCCGCGUGGAGGAUAAGGUCUUCGGAUUGUAAACUCCUGUCAUGCGUGAACAAGGUUGCCUGGUUAAUACCUGGGCAAAUUGAUGGUAACGCAAGAGGAAGAGACGGCUAACUCUGUGCCAGCAGCCGCCGUAAAAC
rnacentral:rRNA from 1 species